GGGAGGUGGGCCGUCCUGGGCGUGGGUGGGAGGUUCGCGUGGGGCGGACUGGCUGUGGGCAAAUGACUGGCAGACAGACUGGACGGAGCCGUGGCUGGUCGGGCUGGUCAUCUUCCACGUGCUCUGCCUGCUGCUCACCUGCUUCUCAUCCCGGAGGUAUAAGCUACAGGUCGGGCACUUCCUGUGUCUGGUGACGCUGGUCUACUGCGCCGAGUACAUCAAUGAGGUUGCGGCCAUGAACUGGAGGUCCUUCUCAAAGUACCAGUAUUUCGACUCGAGGGGGAUGUUCGUGUCCCUGGUCUUCUCGGCACCGCUGCUGCUCAACGCCCUGGCCAUCGUGAUCCUGUGGGUGCGCAAGACGCUGGCGGUGAUGAGCGACCUGAGGACCUUACAGCAGCGCCGGGGGCGGCCGAAGCAGCAGUGACAGCUCUGCCCCCGGCUGGCGCCUGGGCAUCCAGACCCGCCCCGCGUCCCGAGACGCUUGGGCUGGCUUUGAAGGGCGCUCGCCCGGCCUGGGUCCACCCAGAAGGUCUGAGUCUCCCUAGUUAAACUGUAAAUGGAGCCCCUGCAGUCAAGCCUGAGCUCGGGACACCCUGUCUGUCCAUGUGGGAGGGUUGAGGGGUGGGCAGCGCCAUCCACGCGUGGGCACCCCCAUUGGCCCCUGUCCCCCCCACCCUCCCCGUCAGCCCCCUGUCACCUCUAUCACUCCCCCAUCACCCCUGUCACCCCCAUGCUCCCCGUCAGCCCCCUGUCACGGUCACCCCUGUCACCCCUGUCACUGCCAUCACCCUGGUCUGGCCUUCGUGGCGACGGCCUCUCCAGGCAGGGCUGCCGCUGGACAGGGCAGGAGGGGCCGCCUGGCCUCUGUGCAGUUGGAGGCGUCACGGCGCCGGCGGAGGCCGGAGUCGGGAUCUUCAGAGGCGGCAGCCGCGCGAGCCCCUUGAGUUGUGCUUCAGGAAGGAACGUCGCCAUUAAAACAGUCAGCAGCUGCCUGGUUCAACUAAGAGGUUUUAUGGCGAAUACCGAGACGGGUUCUGUCCCUUGGUUCCUGCCUCUUACAUUCUGCUCGGGGACAUGCCACCGCCUCUUCUGUUGGAGCAGCUGCGCUGAUUCGGUGUCACGGCUGCGCUGCGGACUAGACCUGCAGCUGGAGGGUGGGGGCCGCAUGUCUAAACUCAGCGUUUGAGAAAGAGGAGGCGGUUGGCUCCUGAUGGGGUUUGAAAAAAUAGCUUGCGAGCCUUCCUGCUGUGACUCAAAGGGAUCAGCGGCAUCUCUGCAGCGCUGGGCGCGGGUUUGAUCCCUGGCCGGGUGCAGUGGGUUAAGGCUCUGACAGGGCUGCAGCUGCAGUGUAGGUCACGCUGGGACGUGGCUCUGAUCCUGGCCCAGGAAAGCCAUGUGCCAUGGGGUGGCCUGAAAAAAAGAGAGGAAGUAGUUUAUGAAUAGUUGUCUUAAUUUUAAGAAGAUAUUUUCCCUUAAAUGAAGUAUAUUUUUCAAAUUUCAAAAGAAAAAAAAUUGGUCACUUGAAAGCAUUAUAUUUAGUGGUUCAGAGGGUAACACUGCUGGAUGAUGGGAUUAAAUCUUGAAAUCCAGACGUAAAGACAGCUGUAAACUCUUAGCAGAGAAAUUAUUUCCUUAAUUUUGACGUUGGUUUUAGAACCGAGUCGAUAGAACUUCCUAGAUCAAUCUCUUGGAGCUUUUAACCUCACAUCCUUUCUUGAUGUGAAUGUCUGUACUGAACAUUGAAAAAAUUGACUCAGCAACAGCAUGUCACGUGAAAUCCAGUUUUAGAUGUCUUGCACCUGAUGACAUCCUGAGGGUGCGUUGCUGAAAGUGACCAGUUCAGGGUGUUCCUUGGUGUCCUGGCUUCAGAAGAGUCGCCUGCAUCUGAGCAGCUCCCGGGAGCCCACAGCGGCAGGGGCUGCGGGCGGGGUCGAGUGUCCCCUCCAGCGCCGGCCUGGGGCCAGGGGACAGAAGUGCCCGUGGCAACGUCCUGCCCUUGCCCUCGGCCCCUCGGAGCCCAGGGAGUGCAGGCAUUUCCACCGUCCGGAGCCACUCCUGUCAGCGCGAGACUGUGACUGGCUCUCAGCUGUCCUGUGAAGACCGGGUAAUGACAUCGUCAUUGGCCUGGAUGUGGGGUCAGACGUCCUGUCGAAAACACGACGUAGGGCCUUUUCGUUCACUGGUGUAUGUAAGUUUUGGGGAAUCGUUGUGUUUUAUUUUCACAAACACAACCUGUUUUUAAAACUUUUAGUAGGUUUCUCUCCAGUGGCUUAAAGGGCAGUGUUUACGAACACCAGGCGGUCCUCAUGCUUGGGACACACUCCAAGCCGUCGCUGUCCCAGCACUUCAGGUCACCUCAAGUGUGGGGACUGUGGCCCUUUCGGGGCAUGGGGGUGCUGCUGGGGCUUGGGGCCUCCAGGCGGGUGGAAGGGCAGCCUGUGUCUGUCAUCUGCGGACGAGAAGACGAGAGACACGCGUGGUCAAGGCGCAUUUAGCCCGUUCCAGACCUGCAACCUUCAGUUUGUCAGUUGCUGUGUAAUAAAGUCUUAUUUUAUUUCAAGUAUCU
rnacentral:lncRNA from 1 species